AAGACUAUACUUUCAGGGAUCAUUUCUAUAGUUUCUGACUAGGAAAUGCGUUUCAAAAGUGUUGCUAUAUUCUCUAUGCA
ensembl:snoRNA U3 Small nucleolar RNA U3